GCCUGCGCGUCCUGCGAGGUGUCUUGCAGGCCGUCAUGCAGGCCACACUGACGGUAACGUUGCAGGUCGUCUUGCAGGGCUUCUCGCAAGACGACAUCACUCCCGAUGACGUGC
rnacentral:pre_miRNA from 12 species